GACGUAGGGGGCCAGCGUUGUUCGGAAUUACGGGGUGUAAAGGGUUCGUAGGCGGUGCGGCAAGUCGGGAGUGAAAUCUCUGGGCUUAACCCAGAGGCUGCUUCCGAAACUGCUGUGCUUGAGUGUGGGAGAGGCGCGUGGAAUUGCAGGUGUAGCGGUGAAAUGCGUAGAUAUCUGCAGGAACACCCGUGGCGAAAGCGGCGCGCUGGACCACUACUGACGCUGAGGAACGAAAGCUAGGGGAGCAAACAGG
rnacentral:rRNA from 1 species